UAACAUUCGUCGCCGCGGAUUCAUUCUAAAAAUUCACGAGCUCCUCUUGCUUACCUUAUUAUUUAAUCUGCAAUUACUACAACUCUUAACACUGUGAAUCGAAAGUUCGCCGCCAUGAACACCCGAGUAUUAGUACGAUUCUAUCAGACCGUUAAACCUCACCAACCAUCAAUCCGGUUUCGGUAUGGAAUCCCAGAAAUCAGUAUGUACAAAAUAGUAUUACAAAAUCUCUGUUAACUUAUUUGAAUACAUUUUAAGUUUUAUAUA